rnacentral:piRNA from 1 species
UAUUCCUCUUUUUCUUAUACA